rnacentral:rRNA from 1 species
ACGCUCGACACCUACGAGGCAGCAGUGGGGAAUAUUGCACAAUGGGGGAAACCCUGAUGCAGCGAUGCCGCGUGAAGGAAGAAGUAUCUCGGUAUGUAAACUUCUAUCAGCAGGGAAGAAAAUGACGGUACCUGACUAAGAAGCCCCGGCUAACUACGUGCCNGCAGCCGCGGUAAUCUGAGCGGGCUGGCAAGGC